rnacentral:rRNA from 1 species
GACGAACGCUGGCGGCGUGCUUAACACAUGCAAGUCGAACGGAAAGGCCCUGCUUUUGUGGGGUGCUCGAGUGGCGAACGGGUGAGUAACACGUGAGUAACCUGCCCUUGACUUUGGGAUAACUUCAGGAAACUGGGGCUAAUACCGGAUAGGAGCUCCUGCUGCAUGGUGGGGGUUGGAAGGUUUCGGCGGUUGGGGAUGGACUCGCGGCUUAUCAGCUUGUUGGUGGGGUAGUGGCUUACCAAGGCUUUGACGGGUAGCCGGCCUGAGAGGGUGACCGGCCACAUUGGGACUGAGAUACGGCCCAGACUCCUACGGGAGGCAGCAGUGGGGAAUAGUGCACAAUGGGCGGAAGCCUGAUGCAGCAACGCCGCGUGCGGGAUGACGGCCUUCGGGUUGUAAACCGCUUUCGCCUGUGACGAAGCGUGAGUGACGGUAAUGGGUAAAGAAGCACCGGCUAACUACGUG